AUGGUGACAUCUGUCUGGUUCAGUCAGUGAAGGCAAUACAUACUAUACUCUAAAAGGAAAAGCAAAUUUGUUAAAAUAGGCAGCCAGAGAAUACUUAGCAAAAAUAGGACAAAUGAUAACCACAGAAAGCAAUGAACAUCAUUUGCUUAUCAUGCUAAUUCCUUUCUGAGAACUGUAGUACCCUAACCCCCAAAGGAACAUGGACAUCAUCCUACUUCCAUUAUAGAGCUAGUGGGUCAGCCUAUGGAUUUGCUUGAUGGGAUCAGAUUACUUCCUCUAUUACAAUAAUUCAGGCUCAGAAUCACAAUCCACAAGUUUCUGAAGAACUGAAGUUCUGGCUUAUCCACCAGGCAAUAAGAAAAGUGCAUGCAUGAGCAGCACAGUGUGGAUUUUCCCCAGAGGGCACUGCUCCUGUUACAUAACUCAGCAGCAUCACAUUAGCACAGCACGAGUGAUCACAGAUGGCAACGGCAGAGGCCAAACACAGGCCACUCGGGAGCUCCCUGAUGCCAGGCAAGGCCUUUGAAAAUAACAUUCUUACCCUAGAAAAGAAAAGGUCUCCAAGAUCCUAGCAUGUGCAAUGCAUCUAAUGGUUGAAGAGAGAAUUUAUUGCUGUCUCAUUUUCCAGGAGAAAAAAGGUCCAUGUUCAUCAAAAGCUACAUGACCUUGGGUAGGACAUAAACUGAGGAAUCUGUUUCUUCUUCAUCAGUAAUACAGAGAUGACAAUAUUUAAACUAUCUACCUCAUAGGGAU